rnacentral:rRNA from 1 species
CGGGUGAGUAACACGUAUCCAACCUGCCGUCUACUCCUGGCCAGCCUUCUGAAAGGAAGAUUAAUACAAGAUGGCAUCAUGAGUCCGCAUGUUCACAUGAUUAAAGGUAUUCCGGUAGACGAUGGGGAUGCGUUCCAUUAGAUAGUAGGCGGGGUAACGGCCCACCUAGUCUUCGAUGGAUAGGGGUUCUGAGAGGAAGGUCCCCCACAUUGGAACUGAGACACGGUCCAA